GCCCGGUUGGUGGAAUGGUAGACACGCGACGUUUAGGCCGUCGUUCUUAACAGAGUGAGAGUUCGAGUCUCUUGCCGGGUACCA
rnacentral:tRNA from 1 species